rnacentral:tRNA from 1 species
GGAGAGUGCCGGAGUGGCUGAACGGGACGGUCUCGAAAACCGUUGUUCCGCUUGCGGAACCGAGAGUUCGAAUCUCUCCUCUCCG